AUUGAACGCUGGCGGCAGGCUUAACACAUGCAAGUCGAGCGGGGUGAUGGUGCUUGCACUAUCACUUAGCGGCGGACGGGUGAGUAAUGCUUAGGAAUCUGCCUAUUAGUGGGGGACAACAUCUCGAAAGGGAUGCUAAUACCGCAUACGUCCUACGGGAGAAAGAAGGGGAUCACUUGUGACCUUGCGCUAAUAGAUGAGCCUAAGUCGGAUUAGCUAGUUGGUGGGGUAAAGGCCUACCAAGGCGACGAUCUGUAGCGGGUCUGAGAGGAUGAUCCGCCACACUGGGACUGAGACACGGCCCAGACUCCUACGGGAGGCAGCAGUGGGGAAUAUUGGACAAUGGGGGGAACCCUGAUCCAGCCAUGCCGCGUGUGUGAAGAAGGCCUUAUGGUUGUAAAGCACUUUAAGCGAGGAGGAGGCUCUUUUGGUUAAUACCCAAGAUGAGUGGACGUUACUCGCAGAAUAAGCACCGGCUAACUCCGUGCCAGCAGCCGCAGUAA
rnacentral:rRNA from 1 species